rnacentral:rRNA from 1 species
UCCUACGGGACGCAGCAGUGGGGAAUAUUGCACAAUGGGGGAAACCCUGAUGCAGCGACGCCGCGUGAGUGAUGAAGUAUUUCGGUAUGUAAAGCUCUAUCAGCAGGGAAGAUAAUGACGGUACCUGACUAAGAAGCUCCGGCUAAAUACGUGCCAGCAGCCGCGGUAAUACGUAUGGAGCAAGCGUUAUCCGGAUUUACUGGGUGUAAAGGGAGCGCAGACGGCAGGGCAAGUCUGAUGUGAAAGUCCGGGGCUCAACCACGGGACUGCGUUGGAAACUGUUAAGCUGGAGUGCAGGAGAGGUA